UACAGAGGUCUCAAGCGUUGUUCGGAUUCAUUGGGCGUAAAGGGAGCGUAGGUGGCGGGGCAAGUCAGGUGUGAAAUCUCGGGGCUCAACCCCGAAACUGCACUUGAUACUUCCUUGCUAGAGUACUGGAGAGGAGAUUGGAAUUUACGGUGUAGCAGUGAAAUGCGUAGAUAUCGUAAGGAAGACCAGUGGCGAAGGCGAAUCUCUGGACAGUUACUGACACUGAGGCUCGAAGGCCAGGGGAGCAAACGGG
rnacentral:rRNA from 1 species